ensembl:snoRNA
AAAAAACAUUUGUUGAUUGAUCAAAACUCUGACACAAUUUGAGCUUGCUAUAGCAAGAAAGUCUAACCUAUCCUGGUGUUCUCUUCUCUGUGAGACAAGCCAUUAUAUAGACUUAAACAGU